CCUACUGGAGGCAGCAGUGAGGAAUAUUGGUCAAUGGACGGAAGUCUGAACCAGCCAUGCCGCGUGCAGGAUGACGGCCCUAUGAGUUGUAAACUGCUUUUGUAUGAGAAUCAUAGUUCUUACGUGUAGGAAUUUGAAUGUAUCGUACGAAUAAGGAUCGGCUAACUCCGUUCCAGCAGCCGCGGUAAUACGGAGGAUUCGAGCGUUAUCCGGAUUUAUUGGGUUUAAAGGGUGCGUAGGCUGUUGGUUAAGUUAGAGGUCAAAGGUCGGGGCUUAACCCUGGAACUGCCGUUGAUACUGGUAGACUAGAGAGCGGAUGCGGCAGGCGGAAUGAGUGGUGUAGCGGUGAAAUGCUUAGAUAUUACGAAGAACACCGAUUGCGAAGGCAGCUUGCUGGUCCGCAUCUGACGCUGAGGCUCGAAAGCGUGGGUAGCAAACAGGAUUAGAUACCCGAGUAGUC
rnacentral:rRNA from 1 species